rnacentral:tRNA from 1 species
GUAAGCAUAGUUUAACAAAAACAUUAGAUUGUGAGUCUAACAAUAAAAAGCUCAAACCUUUUUGCUUACC